CCUACGGGGCGCAGCAGUGAGGAAUAUUGGUCAAUGGGCGGAAGCCUGAACCAGCCAAGUCGCGUGAGGGAAGAAGGGCCUGCGGGUCGCAGACCUCUUUGGACGGGGAGCAAGGCCGCCGACGUGUCGGCGGAAGGAGAGUACCCGUAGAACAAGCAUCGGCUAACUCCGUGCCAGCAGCCGCGGUAAUACGGAGGAUGCGAGCGUUAUCCGGAUUUACUGGGUGUAAAGGGGGCGCAGACGGCGAUGCAAGCCAGGAGUGAAAGCCCGGGGCCCAACCCCGGGACUGCUCUUGGGACUGCGUG
rnacentral:rRNA from 1 species